ensembl:lncRNA
AGAGUCCAAACACAGUUUAUAUAGGGGAAUGGUAAUGGGGAACACCUGGUGGUGAUUAGACCUAAGCACAGGAUUAUGGGAAAUGGAGUUGGGAAUGGAAAUGGACACCAAAUGCAAGAGUCCUGAGUGGAGUGCCCUCUGCUGGAGUUAAUGGGCACUCCAGCUGAUGAUCAUGACACAAACAAAAAAAAAAUAAUAAUAAUUUAAAGUGAAACAUAAGGUAAGGUUGGGCUUACCUCUCUCAUUUGGGAUAAAUCCAAACGUUUCCAUAUUUGUGAUUUUGCCCAUUUGAAGCUAAACUAUUAUUCACUAGGUAAAAUAGGCUUUGUAGUUCACGCAUGUUCAGUAUCAAUGGAAAAAAAACAGAAUGAGCAAAAAUAUGCCAAAGUGGACCGCUGCUCGCGCCGCAUGGCUGGUGAACGACUGCUGUUUCUAAUGAAUAUGUGCGCGUGAGGCACCGGCGAUCAAAGUCACAAUUCACAAUUUUUGGUCACACAUUAAAGGCAUAAUUCAAAAAUGCAAAGUGUUAGCAGUUUGAAAAAACAAGAAUAAUAACAGAGUUAAUAAGAAUUAUUUGUAAAUGCUGCACCGUUCUCAUCUCGCUCUGCAAAUGGAACCUGAAGAUCAUUAUUAUUUUUUUUAACCAAGAAUGAACCGAAAUUAAAACAUUUACUAAUUAUAACGUAAAUGUAACAUUUACUAAUACAAAAUACAAAACAUUUACUAAUAUAAAACUUUUAAUCCGUAUAUAAGGUCUUUCUUUAAAUUUUUGAUGAGUAGACUGUAGCCUAAGACUAUCCUAUUUUUUUAAUGGCUUUUAAGGAUGUUAUAAUGUAUAUUAUAAUGUAAUUGUUGUUUUACGUCUUCCUUUCAUUUUACAAUUACAUUCAUUUCGCAAUCCGUCCCUUUGCGCCACCUGGCGGUAGUUUCGCGAAUGAUUUUAACACGCGGCUGACUUGCAGUUAACGCCGCGGCCCUGCGGCGGCGGUACGCGCAGCGGUAUUACCCAUUUUGGAUGUCUACCUACUGUAAGUUACAUUUUCCUGCAAAACACAAAACGAAACAAAAACUAACAAACACUCAUACAAAGUUACAUCUCCUGUAAUAAAUUACCAUUAUUAUUGUUGUUAAUGUAGUAGUUAAAUGGCUUCCAUAUUUCUUCAUAUACACCCAUUUUGUUUUUAAUAAAAUAUGUUAUUUUUUCCAUGGCCAUACACUGCAUCAUGGCAUUAAUCCAGGCUCCAAUAACUGGCGGGUCAGGCCUUUUCCAGCUUAGAGCUAUCAUUAUUUUAGCUUGUAAUAUAGCAUAAUCUAUAAAUUUACUCUGCUAAGGAUUUAGUUUAAGGUUCUUUGGAUAUAAAUGUAACAGAAUCUUUUUUGCAUCUAGAGGAAUAUUCAAGGAUAAAAUUAUAUUUGUAAUAUUAAUCACUUCCACCCACUCUCUAAUAAUAUUGCAUUCCCAAACACAGUUCACAAAUGAUCCUUGAACCUAUCUGCAUUUAAAGAAUGUAACAGGAAUAUUUUUAUUAAACCUAUUUAGUUUGACAGGAGUUAUGUAAGUCUGCAUCAACCAAUUAUAUUGAAGUAGUUUUAGGCUAACGCUACCUAACUGUUUCUGAGAGUUUUUACAGACUUGUCUCCAUUCAUCCUCAGAUAUAUCCUCAUUCAAUCCCACCUUCCAUAAUUCAAGUUUCGUGGUUGAUGAUUCAGUAGACC